rnacentral:rRNA from 1 species
GACGAACGCUGGCGGCGUGCUUAACACAUGCAAGUCGAACGCUGAAGCUCAGCUUUUGUUGGGUGGAUGAGUGGCGAACGGGUGAGUAACACGUGAGUAACCUGCCUCCUUCUUUGGGAUAACGCCCGGAAACGGGUGCUAAUACUGGAUAUUCACUGGUCUUCGCAUGGGGGUUGGUGGAAAGGGUUUUUCUGGUGGGGGAUGGGCUCGCGGCCUAUCGGCUUGUUGGUGGGGUGAUGGCCUACCAAGGCUUUGACGGGUAGCCGGCCUGAGAGGGUGACCGGGAACAUUGGGACUGAGAUACGGCCCAGACUACUACGGGGGGCAGCAGUGGGGAAUAUGGCACAAUGGGCGCAAGCCUGAUGCAGCGACGCCGCGUGAGGGAUGGAGGUUUUCGGGUUGUGAACCUCUUUCGCUCAUGGUCAAGCCGAAACAAUGGUUGUGGUGAGGGUAGUGGGUAAAGAAGCGCCGGCUAACUACGUG